GACGCUUACCACUUUGUGGUUCAUGACUGGGGUGAAGUCGUAACAAGGUAGCGCUAGGGGAACCUGGCGCUGGAUCACCUCCUUA
rnacentral:rRNA from 2 species